GCGGUCGUGGCGUACCAGGUGAACGCGCCAGGCUUCCACCCUGGAGAAGCGGGUUCGAUUCCCGCCGGCCGUU
rfam:Kibdelosporangium phytohabitans strain KLBMP1111, complete genome.